rnacentral:rRNA from 1 species
UACGUAGGGGGCAAGCGUUAUCCGGAUUUACUGGGUGUAAAGGGAGCGUAGACGGUGCAGCAAGUCUGAUGUGAAAGGUCGGGGCCCAACCCCGGGACUGCAUUGGAAACUGUUGAACUGGAGUACAGGAGAGGUAAGCGGAAUUCCUAGUGUAGCGGUGAAAUGCAUAGAUAUCACGCAGAACUCCGAUUGCGAAGGCAGCUUACUAAGCCAUAACUGACACUGAAGCACGAAAGCGUGGGGAUCAAACAGG